CUACGGGCCGCUGCAGUGAGGAAUAUUGCACAAUGGGGGAAACCCUGAUGCAGCAACGCCGCGUGGAGGAUGACGCAUUUCGGUGUGUAAACUCCUUUUAUAUGUCAAGAAAAUGACGGUAGCAUAUGAAUAAGCACCGGCUAACUCCGUGCCAGCAGCCGCGGUAAUACGGAGGGUGCAAGCGUUAUUCGGAAUCACUGGGCGUAAAGGACGCGUAGGCGGGUUAUCAAGUCAGGUGUGAAAUCCUACAGCUUAACUGUAGAACUGCACUUGAAACUGGUAGCCUAGAGGAUGGGAGGGGCAGAUGGAAUUAGUGGUGUAGGGGUAAAAUCCAUAGAUAUCACUAGGAAUACCGAAAGCGAAGGCGAUCUGCUGGAACAUUACUGACGCUAAGGCGUGAAAGCGUGGGGAGCAAACAGGAUUAGAUACCCGAGUAGUC
rnacentral:rRNA from 1 species